GCCGAAGUGGCGGAAUGGCAGACGCGCGGGAUUCAAAAUCCCGUAUCCUUUACUGGGUGUGUGGGUUCGACUCCCACCUUCGGCA
rnacentral:tRNA from 1 species